GAGAGACCAUCAACACCGUGCAGGCCGGUCUGUGCUUCACAGGGCUGGCUCCUGCCUUCCUCCUUUGUGAACUCAGGGAUUCAUGGAGCUAAGCCAUCAACACCUGGCUGAGAAGUAGGGCCUCUCCACCUUCCUCCCACUCUGCUCACAAAUGGCCCUGAGGAGUGUCAGAGAUCAAAGGGGCCAGCGCCCUGGCCUUCUGCUGCUCAGCCCCAUAACUGCCCUCAGAGGACGGGAAUUCACACCUGCUGGUGGUGGAGGGGGCCCAAGGUGUGGAGGACUGUGUUGGCUGCGGCAUCAUCUGCAAAGGUGAGUGAGCUUGAACUUUCACAAGGUGGCCCCAAGCCACCAUAGGGGUAACAAGACAAAAGGUGUCUCCCUUCCUACAUUACAGAAGGCGUUUGUGGAAUUCACAUCCCACUGGGUCCUUUUUUCACAGUUCCUUGGCUUGAGGCCUCUGAUCCUGCUUUCCACAAGCUGACUGGGUGUCACCAAGGCCCCAGAAGGGCCCGGAGCUCCCCCUUCUCUCACCCACUCCCCGAUUAUGUGCUCCCAGCACAGCUCUGCAGCCAGAGGGUGAGGCUGCAAGCGAGAUUCCGAGGCUGACUGAUAGGCCUUCACCAGGCGGAGCCAUCUUGAAGGAGAAAGAGGGAGACGGGGACGCUGUUGUGAAUGGGUGGAUACGUCAAGAUGUGAGAAACUGAAGCUAGUAGCUGGAGUGGAUCCACAGGGAUUUCUAUAGGCAGCCGAGUUUCCUGAACUUUUCCCGUGAAACUGACUUUGCUUUAACGAGAGCAACUGCACUGGCCAUUCCCACAGGUAUCUCUAGCCCCUCGUCUACGUGAAAUGAGUGCAUUCACUCAGAUAAAUCUCUAAAAUGGUGGCUGGAGGCUGUUAUUAGGAGGCUAGUAAAGAUUUUAUGCUUGAUAUAAUAUUGCCUGUGACUUAGCCACUGUUGUAGAACAAUAUUUUGCCUGAAACUCUUCAAAUGAUGUUUUGGUAGCUGUUUCUGCUCAUUUUGGUUAAUGUUUUUGCAGCAAUAAGUCUGAGCAGCUGGAUCUUUUGUUCCUCACACAGCAUAUUCCAGGUGGGCUGCCUGAAUCCUGCAUCCUAAACCCUAUAAAAUACCAUUUCAGGAACAACUGGGUUUUUGUCUACAAGAAAUUAUCCCUAUAAUAGCUUGUAUAUGCCGUGAAGUAAUGAGAUGGUUGUUAAUAGAAAAAUAUUUCCUAGAAUAGACCAUUUUUAUUCAAACAUCUGCCAACAUGAAAACUAUGUACACAGCAUUGCAAUGGAGUCAUCGCUUUCCUAACAGUUUUCCUACAGCCUGAUACCCACACCAUGUACAACCUGACUGAUACACCAUUUACAGCCUGACUGACUGACGCCCACACCAUUUACAGCCUGACUGACUGACACCUACACCAUUUACAGCCUGACUGACUGACACCCACACCGUUUACAGCCUGACUGACUGACACC
rnacentral:lncRNA from 1 species